AUAAUAUAGCAAAGCAGACACAGGCCUCAAAAACUUAAGGAACAUUUAUGGGAGAAAAUCUUAACUGGGAAUUCAACAGAUGGGGAGAAGACCAUCAUUCUCAGUUUUUGAGGCAGAGCAUCUCAUUCCAACGAGAGGUGUGUACGUGCAGGAGCAAAACCUGAGACACCCGGGGAGGAGGGUAUAUGAGUGGGAGGCUGUAUAAUACACUUGGUUGCAAUCCCAGAUCCACCUCUUUCUAUUUAUGCAGCUCCAAGCAAAUUACCUCAUCUCUCUUUGCCUUGGUUUCCUCAUCUAUUAAAUGGGGAUUAGAAGAGACUGACUUCAUAGAGUCGUUGUGCGAAAAUGAGCCAGUGUAUUGUAAUGAGUCUAGAAUUGUGCCUCUACCACAAAAUAAGUCCUCAAUAACUAUUAGCUUACUACUCCCAGCGUCACCACCACCACUACCGCUACCUCUACUAUUAUUAAAUGAGAGGGAAAGAACAACGAAAAUACUGUUUAAUUAGCAAAACUAAGAGGUAAUGAGGGCCUGAAUUAGGUGCCAGAACAAAUGGACAGAUUGCAGAGGUAACAGAGAUAAUGAGCCUAUAGAAUUUAGCAUCUAAUCCCCCAAGGAUAUGAUUUAAUUGGUCUGGGGUGCGGCUGGUAUCUUAGUUUUUAAGCUCCCCAGGAGAUUCCAAGGGGCAGCCAGAGUCGAGGAUCAUUGUUGUAAUUGCAAAUCACAAACCAGAGGCGGAGUGGAAGGAGGACCUAGAGACAUCCCAGUUUACUCCAUGCGGCUCUCCAGGCUAGACGUGUGAGCAGAACUUGAAGGUUUUUCGGAGGGAGUCACAGAGGUUUGGACACCGGCUUUUUUGUUAAAAUACUUGAGAUUAUGAAAUGUAUUUUAGAGUCAGGAGUAAAAUAUUUAAGGUGAGGUUUGCCCUGGGAGUAGAGCAAGCGAAGGAAACAGCCUGCAUACUUGCAGAGAUUUAGUGAGUCAUGUAGAAGCUGCCUAACAAGGAAGUAUGUCUAAGCAAGUCACAACUGGGCCCGGGUGCGGGAUGAAGUUAAGUGCUUAAUAAUUUGGACUUUACACCUUCAAAACAAGCUCUAAAGACUAACAGUAACAUUGUAUAAGCAACUAUUUGUAAGAUCCGAUCAGUGUAAUUUCAUCACUUGCAGAUUAUUAUCCAGACCCCUCACCAUGGCCCCACAUGCCAGGUGCCUGUCUUCCCUCCAGUGUCCCCCAGGAGCACUGUGUCCAGCCACGCAAAACACAUAUAUGCCCCUCUAGAAUAUAAGCAACACGAAGACAGGAAUCGCAUCUGAGCGCCUGUUGUAAUGCUCGGGAGCAUUUGUUGAAUGAAUGGAAGAAUGAAUGGUCUGGUAAAAAGUUAAUACCCCUUCUCUACCCACAUUUACCCAAGAUCCAACCCCUUUUUUCAUUCAGAACUGUUUUUUAAUUUUAAAAAAUCUUUUUUUGAAACCGUAAAAGUAAUGCAUGCACUGUGUAGAACUCUUGGGAAAAUGCCAGAAAGCACAGAAAAAGAUCUAUAAUCCCACAACCCACAAACAUUUUGUUAAAUAGUAUUUCAGUCUGGAGUGUGUGUGUGUGUGUGUGUGUGUGUGUGUGUAUACUUAUAACUUGCUCUCUGAUGACCAAAAUGCUUCCUGUCCAGGUAGAUGCCUAAUAAAUUCUGCUGAGUUACAGGCAAAUGGGGCCAGAGACCCAGAGACCAGGAGACAAAUAAUCCAGAUAACUUGGAAAUGGUUGCAGUUCUCCAAAACUUUAGAGUGACUUAAUCCAGCUUUUUGGAAAAUGGUCAGAUAUUCAGGGGUUUUUUAAUGCAAAUUUUAGCUGUUAGGCUGAGCAUCCAGAAUCAGAAAAGGGACCUAGAGAGUAAGGAGUUGAGGGAUAGAGGAAGGUGUAGAGAAAAAUCUAGAUGAGGUUAGUGCAAAGGCAGAAAUAUCUACCACCUUUGAAACUUUGCCACCUCUCUCUUCCUGGUUGCCUUUUAUUUAAACAUUUUAAAAAUAGAUAGACAUAGAUGGUUUCCAGUUGUUUGUUUGUUUUGAGACAGUCUCACUGUUGCCCAGGCUGGAGUGCAGUGGCACAAACUCAGCUCACUGCAACCUCCACCUCCUGGGUUCAAGAGAUUCUCCUGCCUCAGCCUCCCGAGUACCUGGGAUUACAGGUAUUCACCACCACGCCCAGCUAAUUUUUUUGUAUUUUUAGUAGAGACGGGGUUUCAUCAUGUUGGCUAGGCUGGUCUGGCACUCCUGGCCUCACGGGAUCCGCGCACCUCAGCCUCCCAAAGUGCUGGGAUUACAGGCACGAGCCACCACGCCUAGCCCAGUUUUUUUUUUUUUUUCUCCGAGACAGAGUCUCACUAUGUCGCCCAGGCUGGAGUGCAGUGGUGCGAUCUCAGCUCACUGCAACUUUCACACUCCGGGUUCAAGCAAUUCUCCCUGCCUCAGCCUCCCAAGUAGCUGGGAUUACAGGCGCCUGCCACCACACAUGGCUAAUUUUUGUAUUUUUUUAGUAGAGACGGGGUUUCACCAUGAUAGCCAGGCUGGUCUUGAACUCCUGACCUCAGGUGAUCUGCCCGCCUUGGCCUCCCAAAGUGCUGGAAUUACAGGCGUGAGCCACCUCACCCGGCCCCAGUUUUUAAGCUAAAGUUAGCAUCCUGUGCAUAUAUUUGUAUACGUGUGCGCUUUUCCCCCCAUUUAAAAAAAAUUAGAGUUAGGGUCUCGCUAUGUUGCUCAGGCUGGCCUUGCACUCCUGGCCUCAAGUGAUCCGCCUGCCUCAGUCUCCAAAAGUGCUAGGAUUACAGGCAUGAGCCAUCAUGCCCAACCUCCCCAUUUUUAAGAUAUAAUUUACAUAUAGUGAAAUUCACAUGAGUAUAUAGUUCUGUGAGUUUUGACAAACUUUUGCAGUCAUACAUGAGUUCACCACAAUCAAGAUAUAGAACAGUUCUCCUAGUCAGCUUAGCUUGGUAUGAAAAGUAAAAAUAAAAAAGAUAUAGGACAGUUCUGUGUUAGGGUUCUCCAGGGAAACAGAACCAAGGUGAUGUAUGUAUAUAUAGCGAGUGAGUGAGUGAGUGUGAAUGUGUAGAGGGAGAAAGAUUUAAGAGGGUAAGCUGGCAGGCUGGAGACUGGCAGGGAAGAGUUACAGUCUAAGUCUAAAGGCAGUCUGCUAGCAGAGUUCUAUUCAAUUUAAUGCUCAAGAAUAAUCCUCUUUGGCACCAUUCAUUCUCUGUCCUUCCAGCCCACCAGGAUGGGAGCUGGGAGCUGUGCCCCUGAGGCCCUGGGCGGCAGCCACACCUUGUGAAUCCCCUCUUGGGGUCAUUCUUCCCUCUUCUUGAAAGAUAACAAAUGUUUGCAGCCACAUCACUGUAGCCCAUUCUGUAGAAGUCUGACAGCCUUCCUUCCCUUUGUCCUGUCUUUGUCCAUUUUAAUCCAAAAGGGCAGUAUUUCUGCUGAGGUGGUUGGUUGAAUCCAUGCUUCACAGCCCCAGUCUCAUUAUCUGAUCGUCCAGCCACACCAUUGGUGUUCUCUUAGGAACACACCUUCUCAUUUUUUUGCAAUGAGGCUAGGCUGAGAAUUUUCUAAAUUUUCAAGUUCUGGUUCCUUUUUGCUUAACAAUAAUUUACUUCUCACAUUUUACUACAAGCAGUAAGGAGAAACCAAGCCACACCUUCAGCACUUUGCUUAGAAAUAACUUGUGCUGAAUAUCUAAAUUCAUCACUCACAAGUUCUACCUUUCACAAAACACUACAAAAUAACUCAGCCAUGUUUCUUCCCACUUUGUAACAAGAAUCGCCUUUCCACUAGUUCCAAUAACAUGUUCCCCAUUUCCAUCUGAAGCCUCACCGGAAGCACCUUUAACAUCCAUAUUUUUGGGGUUUUGUUUUUGUGUGUAUGUGUUUGUUUUGGUUUUAGUUUUGGUUUUGGUUUUGGUUUUGGUUUUGGUUUUAGGACGGAGUUUCACUCUUGUCACCCAAGCAGGAGUGCAAUGGCACAUGAUCUCAGCUCACUGCAACCUCCACCUCCUGGGUUCAAGAGAUUCUCCUGUCUCAGCCUCCCGGAUUUUGGUUUUUUGUGCUUUGUUGAGAGACAGGAUCUCACUCUGUCACCUAGGCUGUAGUGCAGUGGCAUGAUCAUAGCUCACUGCAGCCUAAACUCAAGCAUUCCUCCCUCCUCAGCCUCCCAAGUAGCUAGGACUACAGGUGUGCACCACCACAUCCAGCUAUUUUUAUUAUUUGUUGUAGAGAUGGGGUUCCACUAUAUGGCCCAAGCUGGUCUUGACCUCCCAGGCUCAAGUGAUCCUUCUGUCUCAGCCUCCCAAAGUGCUGAGUUUACUGGUCAUAUGUAUUUUUAAGGGAGAAUGGGAACAUUUCAAUGGUAGCUGCCUUUGGGAAGUGGGGAGGAGCAUAAGACUGGUGGAGUGUUUAAGAGGAUUUAACUUUCUGUGAUGUUUUAUUUAAG
rnacentral:lncRNA from 1 species